AACGAACGCUGGCGGCAGGCUUAACACAUGCAAGUCGAACGCACUCUUCGGAGUGAGUGGCAGACGGGUGAGUAACGCGUGGGAAUCUACCUAGCUCUUCGGAAUAGCUCCGGGAAACUGGAAUUAAUACCGAGUACGCCCUACGGGGGAAAGAUUUAUCGGAGUUAGAUGAGCCCGCGUUGGAUUAGCUAGUUGGUGGGGUAACGGCCUACCAAGGCGACGAUCCAUAGCUGGUCUGAGAGGAUGAUCAGCCACACUGGGACUGAGACACGGCCCAGACUCCUACGGGAGGCAGCAGUGGGGAAUAUUGGGCAAUGGGCGCAAGCCUGACCCAGCCAUGCCGCGUGAGUGAUGAAGGCCUUAGGGUUGUAAAGCUCUUUCAGUGGGGAAGAUAAUGACGGUACCCACAGAAGAAGCCCCGGCUAACUUCGUGCCAGCAGCCGCCGUAAGAC
rnacentral:rRNA from 1 species